GAGUAAGUGAGUGCAGGUAGGGUAGACAGAGUAAGUGAGUGCAGGUAGGGUAGACAUAGUAAGUGAGUGCAGGUAGGGUAGACAGAGUAAGUGAGUGCAGGUGGGGUAGACAGAGUAAGUUAGUGCAGGUAGGGUAGACAGAGUAAGUGAGUGCAGGUAGGGUAGACAGAGUAAGUGAGUGCAGGUAGGGUAGACAUAGUAAGUGAGUGCAGGUAGAGUAGACAGAGUAAGUUAGUGCAGGUAGGGUAGACAGAGUAAGUGAGUGCAGGUAGGGUAGACAGAGUAAGUGAGUGCAGGUAGGGUAGACAUAGUAAGUGAGUGCAGGUAGAGUAGACAGAGUAAGUGAGUGCAGGUAGGGUAGACAGAGUAAGUGAGUGCAGGUAGGGUAGACAGAGUAAGUGAGUGCAGGUAGGGUAGACAGAGUAAGUGAGUGCAGGUAGGGUAGACAUAGUAAGUGAGUGCAGGUAGGGUAGACAGAGUAAGUGAGUGCAGGUGGGGUAGACAGAGUAAGUUAGUGCAGGUAGGGUAGACAGAGUAAGUGAGUGCAGGUAGGGUAGACAGAGUAAGUGAGUGCAGGUAGGGUAGACAUAGUAAGUGAGUGCAGGUAGAGUAGACAGAGUAAGUGAGUGCAGGUGGGGUAGACAGAGUAAGUUAGUGCAGGUAGGGUAGACAGAGUAAGUGAGUGCAGGUAGGGUAGACAGAGAAAGUGAGUGCAGGUAGGGUAGACAGAGUAAGUGAGUGCAGGUAGGGUAGACAGUAAGUGAGUGCAGGUAGGGUAGACAGAGUAAGUGAGUGCAGGUAGGGUAGACAGAGUAAGUGAGUGCAGGUAGGGUAGACAGAGUAAGUGAGUGCAGGUGGGGUAGACAGAGUAAGGGAGUGCAGGUAGGGUAGACAGAGUAAGUGAGUGCAGGUAGAGUAGACAGAGUAAGUGAGUGCAGGUGGGGUAGACAGAGUAAGUUAGUGCAGGUAGGGUAGACAGAGUAAGUGAGUGCAGGUAGGGUAGGGUAGACAGAGUAAGUGAGUGCAGGUAGGGUAGACAGAGUAAGUGAGUGCAGGUAGGGUAGACAGAGAAAGUGAGUGCAGGUAGGGUAGACAGAGCAAGUGAGUGCAGGUAGGGUAGACAGAGUAAGUGAGUGCAGGUGGGGUAGACAGAGUAAGUUAGUGCAGGUAGGGUAGACAGAGUAAGUGAGUGCAGGUAGGGUAGACAGAGUAAGUGAGUGCAGGUAGGGUAGAAAGAGUAAGUGAGUGCAGGUAGGGUAGACAGAGUAAGUGAGUGCAGGUGGGGUAGACAGAGUAAGUUAGUGCAGGUAGGGUAGACAAAGUAAGUGAGUGCAGGUAGGGUAGGGUAGACAGAGUAAGUGAGUGCAGGUAGGGUAGACAGAGUAAGUGAGUGCUGGUAGGGUAGACAUAGUAAGUGAGUGCAGGUGGGGUAGACAGAGUAAGUGAGUGCAGGUAGGGUAGACAGAGUAAGUGAGUGCAGGUAGGGUAGACAGAGUAAGUGAGUGCAGGUAGGGUAGACAAAGUAAGUGAGUGCAGGUAGGGUAGACAGAAUAAGUGAGUGCAGGUGGGGUAGACAGAGUAAGGGAGUGCAGGUAGGGUAGACAAAGUAAGUUAGUGCAGGUAGGGUAGGGUAGACAGAGUAAGUGAGUGCAGGUAGGGUAGACAGAAUAAGUGAGUGCAGGUGGGGUAGACAGAGUAAGUGAGUGCAGGUAGGGUAGACAAAGUAAGUGAGUGCAGGUAGGGUAGGGUAGACAGAGUAAGUGAGUGCAGGUAGGGUAGACAGAGUAAGUGAGUGCAGGUAG